rnacentral:rRNA from 1 species
AUUGAACGCUGGCGGCAUGCUUUACACAUGCAAGUCGAACGCAUCCUUCGGGGUGAGUGGCAGACGGGUGAGUAACGCGUGGGAACGUGCCCUUCAGUUCGGGAUAACCCAGGGAAACUUGGGCUAAUACCGGAUACGUGCGAGAGCAGAAAGAUUUAUCGCUGAAGGAUCGGCCCGCGUCUGAUUAGCUAGUUGGUGGGGUAAUGGCCCACCAAGGCGACGAUCAGUAGCUGGUCUGAGAGGAUGAUCAGCCACAUUGGGACUGAGACACGGCCCAAACUCCUACGGGAGGCAGCAGUGGGGAAUAUUGGACAAUGGGCGCAAGCCUGAUCCAGCCAUGCCGCGUGAGUGAUGAAGGCCUUAGGGUUGUAAAGCUCUUUCGUCCGGGACGAUAAUGAUGGUACAGGAAGAAGAAGCCCCGGCUAACUUCGUGCCAGCCGCCGCAGUAACAC